rnacentral:rRNA from 1 species
AAUUCCUAGUAAGCGCGAGUCAUAAGCUCGCGUUGAUUACGUCCCUGCCCUUUGUACACACCGCCCGUCGCUACUACCGAUUGAAUGAUUUAGUGAGG